rnacentral:lncRNA from 1 species
GGUCGGUGAAUUUGUUUAUUGUUUUCCUUACACACGUGUAACUGUCAUUGGCUUCUUCACGUCGCCUCUUUCCACGUUACCUUUCAUCUUUACCAAAUCGAUUAAACGUCUCCAUUCUUCUUGAACCCUAAAUCGAUAAUCAGAAAUCGAUCGCAUGACAACAACUGCGCUCAAACCUGGCACCCAUCUCCUCCUUCGCAAGCCCUAAGUUCUCCUUCUAUUUGACCACCAGAUCUCCUCAGCGUGUCAUCCUUAAACUCGGGUUUGCCGAGCCUCGAUUUUGCCUUCAUACAAUGGGCAGAAGUUGGAUUGUUGAUGGUAGAGCUAUUGCAUGAAAGGUUGAAACCUGUUGUCUGCCUUUGGUAAAUAAAGUCAAAGACUGGAGCAAUUCAGGAUUGACCAUGAUGCCAUUUCAGGAUUGAUAGUAGUGAUGUAUCAGUAGAGUAGUGGUCUGGGCUUCCCAUUGGUGUGAAAUUUGAACCCACUGAUCUGAUCUUGAGCUCUUAGAACAUUCGGCAGCCAAAUGUGGUGUGGGGAAUCAAAAACCACACCAAUUAAUUGAUGAGUUCAUCCCUACACUUGAUGUAGAUGAAGGAAUAUGUUCCAAACAUCCUCCUGAAAAUCUUCCUGGGUAGUCACGUUGAGAAAAUAUUAUAUGGACUCAGCUAUAUAGGAGCAACUAACUAAUGCAUCAUUGUUGGGAGUGAGAUGGACAAACUUGCAAUUGAAGAACCAGGUUUAAAGAACCGUGGUGUUCCUCAAAAAGUUUCUUACAAGGAUUUACCAUCUCAAAAACAGGUUUUAGUUUAAGUUCAAAUUAGAUCAUUUUAUAUUAAUAUGUUAGAUAGUAACAUAAAGUUUUGGUAAAUAUUAGGAUUAUGGAUUUGAGAGUUAUACAGUUUAAUAAAUACAUAUCGGGUAUUAAUGUGUUUACUUAAUAUCUUGAUUUGCCACUGUGUGUUGUCAACUUGUCAUUUGUUUUAGACUCCCACAUUGCCCGAGAGAAUUUCACUAGCAAGAUUGGUAUGCGCUGGUAUUGUAUGUCGUACAACUCCUGUAAACAUAAAACAUGA